rnacentral:rRNA from 1 species
UACGAAGGGGGCUAGCGUUGCUCGGAAUCACUGGGCGUAAAGGGUGCGUAGGCGGGUCUUUAAGUCAGGGGUGAAAUCCUGGAGCUCAACUCCAGAACUGCCUUUGAUACUGAAGAUCUUGAGUUCGGGAGAGGUGAGUGGAACUGCGAGUGUAGAGGUGAAAUUCGUAGAUAUUCGGAAGAACACCAGUGGCGAAGGCGGCUCACUGGCCCGGUACUGACGCUGAGGAGCGAAAACAUGGGGAGCGAACAGG